GAGAGCAGGGACUGGAGUCGGACUGGAGGGUCUGCUGGGAUUCCCUUUCGGAAAACCCUGGAGUCUGGCCUGGCUGGAAAACUGGGGAUUCUCCUCCCCUCGGGAAUCUGGGCGUCCACCAGGGAUUCGAUCCGGGGACGCCUCCUGUGCGGUGUUCCCCUGAACUGGGACCGCCUGGGGAGAGUUCAGAGGUCAUGCCCUGCUGUCUCCAUGGGCCUGUGGACUCCGACAGGACAGGACUGCAGCCAGCUCGUCCCAGAAAUCUGGAAAUCACAUGGACAGUUUGUUCAGGAGACCCCCCCCCCCAGGGCUCCCCAGAAACCCCCUCCUCAUUGAGAGGUGCUGGUUUUAUGCAGAGAUGACAGGCCUGCCAGCCUGCACUGGGAGAGUUUGACCGUCCAGCCAGGGGACCCUGCAGAACUGCGCUGCUCCAGAUCGCAGAGAGGCGGAGGAGGAGACUGUACAGGGUCGCGUGGGAGCCGGAGUCAUUCCCAGCAAGCAACGGCCACAAAGCAGGAUCCAGGCUGGACGGGACAGCAGUCCUCCAUUACAAUAAUAAUAAUUCUUACAAUAAUAAUACUUAACAGGAGGAUGUGCUCCAGAUCAGAGAAUAGAAUAUUUAGUGCUCUCCAGGAGUGAGAGCCUCAGCCCAGGGAGCAGGAGAGCGGAGAUCACCUCACACCACAGCUUGGGGCUCCCUGAGGGACCCCGUUACCCUGGGUGUCCUGGGCGGCGCUGAGGGGCAGCGGGCCCCGCCCCACCCUGUCCGGGAACCCCAGAGCAGAGCAGGGGGGUGUCUGCCAGGCCGGGGGGCACACGGCCCUGACUGUGUCACCGAAUAAAGGAGAAACCUU